rnacentral:lncRNA from 1 species
GUCGUCUGUUUUAUAAUCAGCGGCUCUCGUUUUCAUCUUUAGAUUAAUUAGGCAGAGAAAGGGAAUAUUUUGAGAGAGAGAGACGGAGGAGUAAUGUUCUUUUUUUUUUUUUUUUUUUUUUAAAUUUUUUUUUUUUUUUUGAACUUUUUUUUUUUUUUUUUAAAUUUUUUUUUUUUUUUUGAACUUUUUUUUUUUUUUUUUUUUUUUUUUUGAACUUUUUACUGUUUGAGAGUACUGAUUGCGAGCUUGGGAGUUGGGACUGAUACAGUGUGAAACGUGUGUCGACUUAUUUUUGUUGUGUUGGCGAUUUAGCACUUGUUAGGAUCCUGUACAUGGGGUUUCUGUAUUCUUUGUGUGUAGAAUUAUUUUUGCUAACGAAAUUAAUUAGCUUGAAGUUUUACAAUCUGAAAAUAUAUCGAUCUGAG